GCCAGGGGUGGUGGCGCACACCUGUCAUCCCCGUGGCUCGGGAGGCUGAGGCAGGAGGAUCGUGAGUUAGAGGCCAGCCUCAGCAACAGUGAGGCUCUAAGCAACUCAGGGAGACCCUGUCUCUA
rnacentral:sRNA from 1 species